AUUGAACGCUGGCGGCAGGCUUAACACAUGCAAGUCGAGCGGGGGAGGUUGCUUCGGUAACUGACCUAGCGGCGGACGGGUGAGUAAUGCUUAGGAAUCUGCCUAUUAGUGGGGGACAACAUUCCGAAAGGGAUGCUAAUACCGCAUACGCCCUACGGGGGAAAGCAGGGGAUCUUCGGACCUUGCGCUAAUAGAUGAGCCUAAGUCGGAUUAGCUAGUUGGUGGGGUAAAGGCCUACCAAGGCGACGAUCUGUAGCGGGUCGGAGAGGAUGAUCCGCCACACUGGGCCAGAAACACGGCAAAGACUCGUAAGGGAAGCAGCAGUCGGGAAUAUUGGACGAUGGGGGGAAGCUUGAUCCAGCCAUGCCGCGUGUGUGAAGAAGGCCUUUUGGUUGUAAAGCACCUUAAGCGAGGAGGAGGCUCUUAAGGUUAAUACCCUUGAUGAGUGGACGUUACUCGCAGAAUAAGCGCCGGCUAACUCUGUGCCAGCCGCCGCAGUAAUAC
rnacentral:rRNA from 1 species